rnacentral:lncRNA from 1 species
GCAGAAUAAUAUCCCCUUGUAUGGACAUGCCACAUUUUGCCUGUUCAUCCCAUGAUGGACACUUGAGUUGUUUCCACCUUUCGGCGAUUGUAAAUAAUACUGCUAUGAACACUCGUGUACUCAUAGGUGUUUGAACCCUCAUUGCCAGUUGUUUUGACUAUACGGCUAGGAAUGAAAUUGCUGGGUUAAAUGUUAACUCUAUGGUUAACUUCUUAAGGAACAGCUGGAUUCUUUUCUUUUCUUUCUUUCUUUUUUUAUCUUUUUACCCCUAGCCUGGGAACCUCCAUGUGCCUAGGAUGCAGCUCUAAAAAGACAAAAGACAAAAAUAAAUAAAUAAAUAAAUAAAGCUGGGAAUAGAGCAGUUAGUUGCAUACCCUGGAUUAUGGGGGAGUCUUUGCAAAAACGUGGUAGGUAAAUCGUAGUUCACAUAUGAUUUACAAACUAGCAUUUUGCAAUAACUUUGCAAAUUAUCGCAACGUCCAAGCAGUAGCUCCAAGUUGUCGGGGCUUCUUGCAAACUCUCUGAUUUGUCAGUCUGUACUGGCCACAGGCUGGGUGGAAACUCCUAUUUGAGCUCUCUUUUCCCCUCUAGAGCGAUACUGAGGCUGCCAUCUCCGCCAUGGCUGGAAGGCUUGGCGAAUUCAGGUAUGAGGACGUCAAGAUAAUAGAUGUAGACCAGACCAGACCAGAGGUUCAGGAGGGAAUAAUAACCAGUGUGUGCCCGGGUAUACCCAGUUCAUGCAAUAAGCAGGAGUCACAUGAUCUAAGCAGUCGGCAUCUUUAUUUUUGUCUCCUGUGGUCCUUCCACCUGCCCAAAGGCACCCUUUUGCCCAUGGCAUGGGGUGAACAUUCCGUUAUGCCCCAGGAGCUUCCUAGUCACCGAGAGGUAACAGAAAGUCCUUGUUAUCACCUUAAAUCAAAACGGACAGUUGUAUAAACAAAAAUGCCUAAUGUAUAUGUAGCACAGGAAACUAUAUUCAGUAUCCUGAGGUAAAGCAUAAUGGAAAAGAAUAUAAAAAACACGUAUAUGGAUAUAUACCUGUAUCGCUUUGCCGUACAGCAGAAAUUGAUACAACAUGGUUAAUCAGCUAUCCUUCAAUUGGAAAAAUAGCACAGCUUUGCUUUGGAAAUGUUGUCUACCCCAAAAGAAUUAUGAACACAUCAUUUUUAUUCAUAGGUCUGAGGGUAAAAGUUUCAAAAUGUGGCAUCUAUGAAACCUCACCCUUCAUUCAAUUAGAACACUUUGUGCUUCUGAAAGGCCCUUGGUUGGUGUGUGGGUGUCUGGCCCUCAGGAACCAGAAACCUCCCUUCCAAUCUCACUCUGUCUGUGUUUAGUUGUGACCAGCUCUGGGCCUGGUGCAGGGCCUUCCCACUGGCCAGGCACCUUGCCUUGGGCGGAAGGCAUCAUCUCCAUCUAUUGAGGGAGAUGUUCUUGCCUUGAAAAAAAUUGGGAAUAUGCCCAGGCUGAUCCAGGUUUGGGGUGUGGGGAAGGUUCUGGAAACAGUCUGUUGUAACUACAUAGUAGUUCCCCCCUUUAGAGAGAGCAUGCAUCUCCAGUGUGCCGCAGUCCCCACUACUCCUUAUUGUCUCUCUGACCAUGAAAUUGACUGAGCUGGCCCUCUCUUUUCUCUUAGUAAAGAAAGCCUCCUUGGAACCAUACCUCCAUCAAGUAUAGACCAAAAGGGCUGCCUUGUGAUUUUUGCAAAAUGAGUCUGUGUCCUUUAUCUAUGUAACUUGCUUAGGCUUAUGGGCCGGAGAGUUUGAAACUCUGCCAGGGAGUUGCCAGAGGAGUUUGUCAGGAUUCAUGGUUGCAAACGGCAGAAUCCACUCCAGCUAAUUUAAGAGGGAAAGGGGGGGAAAUGAUUUAUUGAGGGAUAUGAAGCCCUAGGAGGAAGAGCUUGCAGAAAUGAGUCCCUGCACCACAUCUCUAACAAGCCUGCCAGGAGCACUCCCACCAGACCUGGAAGCUUCCCCAAGGCUGCUGGCUUAGAAUCACACUCCCCCUUGCUGCAGAGUGGAAGCCCUGAGCCCCACCUCAUCCCCACCUAACUCACCUCUGAAUCAGAUGUGUCUGGGCCAGGGAAUGUGAAUCCCACCUACCCCUGGCCCUGAGAAAGCAGGGACAUUUGUAAUUGGAGUUGGAAAGUUGGGUUUAUGCCACGGGGAAGCAUCCAAAUGUGAGGAGGGGAUUAGAAGGUUUGAAGCAGCUACAAAUGACUCUUGUCCACUUCAGGCUCUGGGAUAGAGGGUAGCUUUGGGGUCCAGAAGGUUGCCUGGUGGGGACCUAGCCAAGCCACCUGCCUUGCAUCCAGGGGUGGUCUUAGACCAGGAACUUCACACCAACAGGUGUCUCCUAAGUUCCCAAACACAAAGGCUUCUCAAAAGAAAAGCUGCACCCCGAAUCCCUGAAGCCCUAGAGCCUAGAGUAGUCCCUGGCAGGCCAGCUGGCCAGCCUCCUGGUGGCCGUGCCCACCCUCCUGGCCAAGUGCCUUUACUUGGCUUUCAUGUGCCUUCUUCCCAGCCUGGCCCUGCACUGGCCGCCCUGGCUGCCAGUCUGGGCAGCUGGGCAGUCACCCUUUCAGAACCCUUUGUUCUCUGCAUGGAAUUCAGAGGAAGGCUCUGCCAGCUUGGAGCUUGGGCUCGGCUGUUUCCCAGCAGCUGAUAACAGAUGGGAUUAAAAGAUGAAAACCCACGCAGAUGUCCCAGCUCUGCUCCAAAUCAAGAAGCCAGGCGUAUGUGUCCAUGCUCCUAGAGCAUUUGUGCCCACCCCACCCUGCUGAUGGCAGCUGUCUCCGACCUUAGAGCCCUCCCCAGAAGACUUUGUCCUGGGAGGCCCCAUCCCUGGCUCCGAGGGCUGCUGAUUCCCUGUGGGGCAUUUACAGAGCCCUGGGGGCACACAGCCUAGAUGGGGAGUUCCACGCCUGUGUCCCAGCCAGAGUGCCCUUGUCAGUUUUCUUGCAACGUUACCAAGUGCCAGGCCUGUGCUCGUGGCUCAAUGCUCCAGGUCUCACGUAAGCUUCACAAGUCGAGCAAGUAGAUGCCAUGUGAUCCCGGGUUUACAGACCCAGGAAACCAAGCCUCGGGGAAAUUAGGUGACAUGGCCAGGGCCCCUUGGCCUGUGAGUGGCAGUGCUGGGAGUCAGCCCAGAUCUGCUUGGCUUCAAAUCCUCCAGACCCAUGGUUACUGGACUUUCCUACCUGGUUGGCAGGCUCUGCAGUCAUCUCUGCAAGAGAAGCCCCAAAGCAGCAUUUCUGUCUUCCAGAAGGUUCUUUUGACCAGGAAACAUGCAUCAGAGUGAAUAAAUGGCCACCCAGAGCCACCCCAUGCUGGCCAAGCUAGUACCCUGGCACAGGAAGGGGAAUAGCAGGGAAGGCAGUGUGACAGCCAGGCCAGGGCCCAAGAGGCCUCUGCUAGCUUGUGAUGUGGUGUGAGUCAUUUCUCUGUGGGCCUCAUUUUCUCAUCUCACUCGCACCACAAAUAUUUCUGAGCCCUUCUCUAGGUCAGGCACUAGGA